CCAGACUCCUACGGGAGGCAGCAGUGGGGGAUAUUGCACAAUGGGGGGAACCCUGAUGCAGCGACGCCGCGUGGGUGAAGGAGUAUUUCGGUAUGUAAAGCCCUAUCGGCAGGGAAGAAGCAAGACGGUACCUGACUAAGAAGCCCCGGCUAACUACGUGCCAGCAGCCGCGGUAAUACGUAGGGGGCGAGCGUUAUCCGGAUUCACUGGGGGUAAAGGGAGCGUAGACGGCCAUGCAAGCCAGGGGUGAAAGCCCGGGGGCCAACCCCGGGACUGCCCUUGGAACUGCAUGGCUGGAGUGCGGGAGGGGCAGGCGGAAUUCCUGGUGUAGCGGUGAAAUGCGUAGAUAUCAGGAGGAACACUGGUGGCGAAGGCGGCCUGCUGGACUGCAACUGACGUUGAGGACCGAAAGCGUGGGGAGCAAACAGGAUUAGAUACCCUGGUAUAA
rnacentral:rRNA from 1 species